CCAAUAGCGUAUAUUGAAGUUGUUGCAGUUAAAAAGCUCGUAGUUGAAUUUCGGGAUCAAUUUGCUGGUCGUGCCUCCGGUACGUACUGGUAUUAUUGGUUUCUCCCUUCUGACUAACCAUGAUGUCAUUCAUUUGGUGUUGUGGGGAAUCAGGACUGUUACUUUGAAAAAAUUAGAGUGUUUAAAGCAGGCAUAAGCUUGAAUACAUUAGCAUGGAAUAAUGAAAUAGGACGUUUGAUCCUAUUUUGUUGGUUUCUAGGAUCGACGUAAUGAUUAAUAGGGAUAGUUGGGGGCAUUAGUAUUCAAUUGUCAGAGGUGAAAUUCUUGGAUUUAUUGAAGACUAACUACUGCGAAAGCAUUUGCCAAGGAUGUUUUCAUUAAUCAAGAACGAAAGUUAGGGGAUCGAAGACGAUCAGAUACCGUCGUAGUCUUAACCAUAAACUAUGCCGACUAGGGAUCGGAUGAUGUUAAUUUUUUAAUGACUCAUUCGGCGCCUUACG
rnacentral:rRNA from 1 species